GACGAACGCUGGCGGCGUGCUUAACACAUGCAAGUCGAACGGUGAAGCGCCUUCCUUUUUGGUGGGUGUGGAUGAGUGGCGAACGGGUGAGUAACACGUGAGUAACCUGCCCCCUUCUUCUGGAUAACCGCAUGAAAGUGUGGCUAAUACGGGAUAUUCUGGGUCUGUCGCAUGAUGGGUCUGGGAAAGAUAUUGUUUCGGUGGGGGAUGGGCUCGCGGCCUAUCAGCUUGUUGGUGGGGUGAUGGCCUACCAAGGCGGUGACGGGUAGCCGGCCUGAGAGGGUGGCGGGUCACACUGGGACUGAGACACGGCCCAGACUCCUACGGGAGGCAGCAGUGGGGAAUAUUGCACAAUGGGCGCAAGCCUGAUGCAGCGACGCCGCGUGAGGGAUGGAGGCCUUCGGGUUGUGAACCUCUUUCGCCAGUGAAGCAGGCCUGCCUCGUUUGUGGGUGGGUUGACGGUAGCUGGAUAAGAAGCGCCGGCUAACUACGUG
rnacentral:rRNA from 1 species